UCUCCGUAGGUGAACCUGCGGAGGGAUCAUUUCAGAGUUCAUGCCCUACCGGGUAGAUCUCCCACCCUAUGUUAUUAUUACUUUGUUGCUUUGGCGGGCCGUUAGGCUCCGGCCCGACUACCGGCCCCGGCUGGUAAGCGCCCGCCAGAGGACCCAAAACCCUGAAUAUUAGUGUCGUCUGAGUACUAUAUAAUAGUUAAAACUUUCAACAACGGAUCUCUUGGUUCUG
rnacentral:misc_RNA from 1 species